UUUCCCAUCUCGCAAUAUCGCCGCUCCUUGCUGGUCAAGCACCAGCCCCACUCCCUCCACUGCAUCGCCCCCGCCCCUAGCCGACGCCGACCAUAUUUUUUUGCAAGCUCCGCAAGCCCCAUUCUCGCAACCCCCUCACAUACUAGCGCCGAGUCUCAUGGUGCAUGAGGCGGUUGCCAUGAGAGGUGCGUUGGAGAUGCGUAUGGGGCGGCGAUGGGGGACAUACGGCGAAUACGACGAUGUUGCAACCCCGCACGUGACAGAGAUGCACCCGAGGGCGGCGAUCUGCUAAGCAACCGUGGCGAGCUGCAACGGCGGCCGCAACAAGCUGGACAGUCAUCAAAUUUUGCUACAACGGCCAGCUGGAUCAUUUGUUUUUGCUGGAACCACAUAUAUUUUUUGCUGGAACCUUAUUUCAAUUAUGCUGCAAACUGAGAGAUAUGGUGGUGUGUUGCUGCCAUGAUUUGUGUUCUGAUUUUCCUGGAAUUCAAGAGGAUGGUGGCGUGGUUGCCGCCAUGAUUUUUGGUAGAUUUAAUUUUUGUUGGAACCUCUUUUCAUUUUUGCUGGAAUCACAUAUAUUUUUUGGUGGAACCUUAUUUCAUUUAUGCUGCAAACUGAGAGAUAUGGUGGUGUGUUCCUGCCAUGAUUUGUGUUUUGAUUUUCCUGCAAUUCAAGAGGAUGGUGGCGUGGUCGCCGCCAUGAUUUUUGGUAGAUUUAAUUUUUGUUGAAACCUCUUUUCAUUUUUGCUACAACCGUCAAUCACAAAAGCUACAUUCGGCUAUCAAUUUUGCUAGAAUGGUGAUGGGUGACGACACAUGGAGAUCUUUCUCUUUUUUUCUAUUUUUCACGCGUAUGCAGAAGGAAGAAGACGACUCAAUUGUAGUUGUGUUGACCGUUGAUUUCGUGCGGGAUCCAACGCUUGGCAUCGGUCGAAACUUGGGCCGGUGCGCCAGCGCCUAGCAUUGCCCUAAAAAAAGCCCCGUAAUCUAUAAAUGUAGGACCACACUACAAAUAUGAUUUCAGAUUUUGAAGCACGGCAAAUCAAAAGUUUUUGUUAUGCCAAAUCUCUUCCUAAUAAUAAAGCGUC
rnacentral:lncRNA from 1 species